AUGACUUCGAAGCCUGUGGAUCUUCCUGCGGACCUUGCGAGCGCCUAUCUGGCGCUUCCGAGCGUGAGAUGUUAUAGGCUGAA
rnacentral:sRNA from 1 species